UUCAGUUUUAUUCAUUUAAAUUGAAUGGAUGUAUUAAUUUCAAAAUAGUUCUUUGUCAGAUAUGGUGACAAUUGAUUUAAAUUUCUAGUUUAAUCUAAGUUGAAACCUUAAACUAUUAUUAUUUGAAAUUUACAGCAUUCUCUUUUUGCAGCUUGAAGUAGUGUAAGUCUAAACAUAGUUAAGUGUUCAUUUUGGGGGUGGCCAAUUCUGUUAAGACAUCAAUGUGUGUGUAAAAAAGAUAUAUAAAUAUUUAAACAGCUUGGCUUUCAUCUUGGUUGCCUUGUGGGCCAUCAAGCAUGUGUUUCACAUGGAAUGAAUGCUGGAAAUAUUCAACAAGGCAGGUAACACAAGUGAAGAGAGAAUCACAAUGAAGGUUUCAAGUUGUUAACUUUUUUUCUGCAGAUUUUUGUUUUCAGGUGAUCACAAACAGACACAAGUCAAGUUUGCACAUUUAAUAUUUAUUUAGCUAACAAGCUAAUUAUGCUAUUUUUAGUGGUGGUAAAUACAAAAUUGAUUGUUGGAUAAGGAUAAAGAUCUAAAAUCUCAAAGUGCAGAGUAAGUAAAUGCCAUUUGAGUGUGGUACCAGUGUACAUUUAUAUCCGAUAAGGAACAAAUAAGAUGGCCCACAGUGAAAAAAAACUGGGAGUUAAGUUGGAAGCAGAUGUAGUGUUGGAUAAGGUUUGCGUAGGAAUAGAGAGCAAAAUAACAUAAAAGCAGAGGAAGUAUUGAGGGGUUCAGCAAGUUUGCAAAGGACAAAAGGGCAAAUUCUAGAUGUAAUAUUUCAAGCUGAUAAAAAGAAACAAAGGAAGCAAAUAUGGAGUUUCUGAUUUUUAUUUAUUUUUUAAACUUUCUCCUUGGCUAUAGGAUUGGUGCCAAUGAAUUACAGAACUGCCAGCAUUGUCUGUUUACAAAGGGGAUGAAGUAAUUACAUGGCAACUAGUUUAACUUCUCCAGGACACAAAUUAGAAUUUAUGCUGAGGAACAAUAUAAACCUUCAGUAAAAAGCGAACAGAUUAAUCAAGAGGAAUCGGCAUGGAUUGAUUUGGUGAAAGUCACGCCAGACUAACUUGACUGGAUUUUUUUUUUUGACCAGUACAAAUGAAGCAUUUGAUGUAGGCUACGUAGAUUUAAGCUAAGCUUUUGACAGCAUCCUGCUUGACCAAGUAGUUAAAUAAAUAACAGCCCACGGGAUCCAAGAUGGGGUGGAUAGUAGAUCCAAAGUUGGCAAGAACCCAGGGAUUAAAAAAAUGAUUGGUGUUUUUGUGAUUAGGAACUGUUUCUGAUGGGGUUUCAGAGCACUCAUUUAUCACUUGCUGUUUGUAAUACCUAUAUAUUUGGAGGGAUUUAGACUUGGAUAUCGGGACACGAUAAACAAUUUUGCAACUGAUAAUAGGAAUGGUAAUGUGGUUGACAGUGCAGAUGGAAGCUUUAGUCUCCAGAAUGAUCUAGAUGGGUUCAAUCAGAGGGUCACAAAAAUGACAAAUGGAAUCCAGGCUGGAGAAUUAGUAAAGUAAUGCACUGGCAGAACGAGAAUCAUAGUUUGUGUUUGGAGUAGAACAGACUGAAAAGGAACUGAGUUUAAGUGUAUACAUUUCUGUGUGACCAGGAUAGAUUCGGGAGGAAGGAUCUAUUUCUUUUUGCAGAGGAUGGGCACAGUGGGCUAAGUGUGGUAAUUAAACAGCAUCUUAAUAUUUGUGUUGCAAAAGUAUUUGUCUGCAUAAUACAACACAACCUAUCUGCAGGCCACUAGUUACCUCACUCAACGAGGUACAUUACAAUAAUUGAGCCAUUAAUUUUGUUUCGUUUUUGACCAACACUAAUUGAAACAAUGGUGUGUGGUAUACAGUGGUACAGUAAUUAGUAGACAUGGGUUCAAUCUUGAUCUGUGAUCAUGGUUUACAGAGUUUACAUGUUCGUCCAGUGACUGCAUGAGUUUCAACUGGGUUCCCUGAUUUCCUCCAGCAUCUCACAGGUGUUGUGUAAUGUUAAUUGGCAAUGACUACUAAAUGGCAAAAAGAGUCGUGGUGAAGAUGAAGGACAUACGAGAAGGAAAGCAGGGAGAUGAGGAGAAAGAGAAUAUAACAAGUGUGAUUACUCUGCUGGGAGUUAGCACAGACCAGUGGGCUGAAUUGCCUCCUCUGUCAUAUAAACUAAGUAACUUGCACUAAUAAUGUAUCACCUACGUACUGCACUUUGCAAAGUUUGUCUUUUAUUGCUUUUCUUUAACAAAAAAUCCAAAAGCAUAGAUAAGGAUAUACAGUCAUAACCUUUUUCCCAAGAUG